UAGCAAGUGGAAGACAAACAUUCUUGGGAAAA
rnacentral:piRNA from 1 species